AUGUUGAUGCAAGACUACUUCGUGGACAAUCCUACGUAUCCGCCGCACCUCUUCCAGAGAAGGUAUCGAAUGCGCCGAUCCCUCUUCGUAAAAAAUGUGCAAGCUUGCGAGGCCAAUUCUCGGGGUUUUACUCAAAGGAGAAACAUUGCGGGCUUGUUGGGUUUCAGCGCAUAUCAAAAAAUCUCCGCAGCUAUGCGGGUGAUUACAUAA
rnacentral:rRNA from 1 species